rnacentral:rRNA from 1 species
ACCGCGGCCUAUCAGCUUGUUGGUGAGGUAGUGGCUUACCAAGGCGACGACGGGUAGCCGGCCUGAGAGGGUGACCGGCCACACUGGGACUGAGACACGGCCCAGACUCCUACGGGAGGCAGCAGUGGGGAAUAUUGCACAAUGGGCGCAAGCCUGAUGCAGCGACGCCGCGUGAGGGAUGAAGGCCUUCGGGUUGUAAACCUCUUUCGUCAGGGAAGAAGCGAAAGUGACGGUACCUGAAGAAGAAGCACCGGCUAACUACGUGCCAGCAGCCGCGGUAAUACGUAGGGUGCGAGCGUUGUCCGGAAUUAUUGGGCGUAAAGAGCUUGUAGGCGGUUUGUCGCGUCUGCCGUGAAAACCUAGGGCUUAACUCUGGGCGUGCGGUGGGUACGGGCAGGCUAGAGUGUGGUAGGGGAGACUGGAAUUCCUGGUGUAGCGGUGAAAUGCGCAGAUAUCAGGAGGAACACCGAUGGCGAAGGCAGGUCUCUGGGCCAUAACUGACGCUGAGAAGCGAAAGCAUGGGGAGCGAACAGGAUUAGAUACCCUGGUAGUCCAUGCCGUAAACGUUGGGCGCUAGGUGUGGGGCUCAUUCCACGAGUUCUGUGCCGCAGCUAACGCAUUAAGCGCCCCGCCUGGGGAGUACGG